rnacentral:rRNA from 1 species
AGAAUCAACGCUGGCGGCGUGCCUAACACAUGCAAGUCGAACGAGAAAGGGUAGCAAUACCUGAGUAAAGUGGCGCACGGGUGAGUAACACGUGACUAACCUACCCUGGAGUGGGGGAUAACUGAGGGAAACCUUAGCUAAUACCGCAUAAUACCUACGGGUCAAAGGAGCAAUUCGCUUCAGGAGGGGGUCGCGGCCGAUUAGUUAGUUGGCGGGGUAAUGGCCCACCAAGACGAUGAUCGGUAUCCGGCCUGAGAGGGCGCACGGACACACUGGAACUGAAACACGGUCCAGACUCCUACGGGAGGCAGCAGUGGGGAAUUUUGCGCAAUGGGGGAAACCCUGACGCAGCAACGCCGCGUGGAGGAUGAAGUCCUUCGGGACGUAAACUCCUUUCGAUCGGGACGAGUUAUGACGGUACCGGAAGAAGAAGCCCCGGCUAACUUCGUGCCAGCAGCCGC